CAUAGACUGGAGACUUUUUUGGUGAGAUCGAGGGAGCUGUGAUGAACAAAUUGCUAACAAUGGGCUCCUUUAAAAGAAUUACCCUUUAUGACUACCAAGCCAUGUGUAGAGCCAACAAGGAAAGCAGCGAUGGCGCCCAUGGCCUCCUGGAUCCUUAUAAUGCCUUCCUCUCUGCAGUAAAAUGGAUCAUGACAGAACUUGUCUUGUUCCUGGUGGAAUUUAACCUCUGCAGUUGGUGGCACUCCGAUAUGACAGCUAAAGCCCAGAAAUUGAAACAGACCCUGGAGCCUUGUGAUACUGAAUAUCCAGCAUUCGUCUCUGAGCGCACCAUCAAGGAGACUACAGGGAAUAUUGCUUGUGAAGACUGCUCCAAGUCCACUCACUACCACGGAAACCAGUAAGGGGUAUGAGUGGUAAGGAAACCUGGGGGAGAAAUAUUAGAGAAGGAAAAUUACAUCCUUUCCACUGUUGGAGAGAGAGAGUAGUUAAGAGAGUUGUCAUUGCCAAAUUUUGACCUCUGAAAUGCAGAGUAGAAAAAAGCAAUCCUUGGAAACAUGCCUUAACUACAGUCAACAUAAUGAAUCCCUUAAGUGUGAACGUCUAAAGGCCCAGAAGAUCAGAAGGCGCCCAGAAUCUUGUCAUGGCUUCCAUCCUGAGGAGAAUGCAAGGGAGUGUGGGGGUGCACCGAGUCUCGAAGCCCAGACAGUCCUCCUUCUGCUCCCUCUGCUUUUGAUGCUCUUCUCAAGGUGACACUGACUGA
rnacentral:sRNA from 1 species